rnacentral:rRNA from 1 species
UACGUAGGGGGCUAGCGUUGUCCGGAAUCAUUGGGCGUAAAGCGCGCGUAGGCGGCCCGGUAAGUCCGUUGUGAAAGUCAAAGGCUCAACCUUUGAAAGCCGAUGGAUACUGCCGGGCUGGAGUCCGGAAGAGGCGAGUGGAAUUCCUGGUGUAGCGGUGAAAUGCGUAGAUAUCUGGAGGAAUACCGGUGGCGAAGGCGGCAUCCUGGACCGACAUUGACGCUGAUGAGCGAAAGCUAGGGGAGCAAACGGG